rnacentral:rRNA from 1 species
UACGUAGGCAGCGAGCGUUGUUCGGAGUUACUGGGCGUAAAGGGUGUGUAGGCGGUUGUUUAAGUUUGGUGUGAAAUCUCCCGGCUCAACUGGGAGGGUGCGCCGAAUACUGAAUGACUUGGAGUGUGGGAGAGGUGAGUGGAAUUCCUGGUGUAGCGGUGAAAUGCGUAGAUAUCAGGAGGAACACCGGUGGUGUAGACGGCUCACUGGACCAUAACUGACGCUGAGACACGAAAGCGUGGGUAGCGAACAGG